rnacentral:rRNA from 1 species
AUUGAACGCUGGCGGCAUGCCUUACACAUGCAAGUCGAACGGCAUCGCGGGAAAGCUUGCUUUCCUGGCGGCGAGUGGCGAACGGGUGAGUCACACAUCGCCACGUCCCGGCUAGGGGGGGAUAACCCGUCGAAAGACGGGCUAAUACCUCAUACGCUCUUCGGCGGAAAGCGGGUGACCUUUUUUCCUUGCGCUGGUCGAGCGGCCCAUGUCCGCUUAGCUAGUUGGGGGGGUUAAGGCCUCCCAAGGCGACCAUCGGUACCGGGUGUGAGAGUACGAUCGGCCACACGGGGACUGAGACACGGCCCAGACUCCUACGGGAGGCAGCAGUGGGGAAUGUUGGACAAUGGGCGAAAGCCUGAUCCAGCAAUGCCGAGUGUGUGAAGAAGGCCUUCGGGUUGUAAAGCACGUUUGUCCGGAAAGAAAUCCUUGGCUCUAAUACAGUCGGGGGAUGACGGUACCGGAAGAAUAAGCACCGGCUAACUACGUG